ACAAUAUGGAAAUGAUCUAUAUCGAUGAAGAAGAGGAAGCAACAAGUUCUAUUGCUUUACCAUGGCCAAAUUGAGCAUAUUUUAAAAUAAUAUCUCAAAACAAAGAAAACAAUUAAUUCUCUGAUGGUAAAAGGUUUGCCGUGUCUACCUAAAAAUACAAAAAUAUCCGUCAGUAUGACUUCAACGUGCAAUAUCGUGAAGCACAUAAGGAUGGCAUGCAGCCAUUAUAAAAGAAAACAAUUGAUACAAAGAUUAGCUGGUGAAUUAUCAAAGUCAUCAACUGACUGCAAGCAAAUAACCUGCCAAAAAAAACAAAUAAUUUAAUUUCAGAUUUUUUUCAGUACCCUACAGCAGAUAUAAUUUCUAAUAAUGAUUUAAAUUUUGAUAAUCAACAAAUUUUAAAUAACUUUUUCAAAAAUAAAUGUAGAGAUUUUAGCAUUUUUAAA